UACGGAGGGGGCUAGCGUUGUUCGGAAUUACUGGGCGUAAAGCGCACGUAGGCGGCUUUGUAAGUUAGAGGUGAAAGCCCGGAGCUUAACUCCGGAACUGCCUUUAAGACUGCAUCGCUUGAAUCAUGGAGAGGUUAGUGGAAUUCCGAGUGUAGAGGUGAAAUUCGUAGAUAUCGGGAGGAACACCAGUGGCGAAGGCGGCUCUCUGGACAGGUACUGACGCUGAGACGCGAAAGCGUGGGUAGCAAACAGGA
rnacentral:rRNA from 1 species